rnacentral:rRNA from 1 species
GGGGAAUAUUGGACAAUGGGCGCAAGCCUGAUCCAGCCAUACCGCGUGAGUGAAGAAGGCCCUCGGGUUGUAAAGCUCUUUUGUUGGGAAAGAAAUCCUGUUGGUUAAUACCUGGCAGGGAUGACGGUACCCAAAGGAUAAGCACCGGCUAACUUCGUGCCAGCAGCCGCGGUAAUACGAAGGGUGCAAGCGUUACUCGGAAUUACUGGGCGUAAAGCGUGCGUAGGUGGUUGUUUAAGUCUGUCGUGAAAGCCCUGGGCUCAACCUGGGAAUUGCGAUGGAUACUGGGCGACUAGAAUGUGGUAGAGGGUGGCGGAAUUCCCGGUGUAGCAGUGAAAUGCGUAGAGAUCGGCAGGAACAUCCGUGGCGAAGGCGGCCACCUGGACCAACAUUGACACUGAGGCACGAAAGCGUGGGGAGCAAAC